GGCAGCAGGCACGCAAAUUACCCACUCCCAGCCCGGGGAGGUAGUGACGAAAAAUAACGAUGCGAGACUCUUCCGAGGCCUCGCAAUCGGAAUGAGUCCAUCCUAAAUCUUUGGACGAGGAUCCAUUGGAGGGCAAGUCUGGUGCCAGCAGCCGCGGUAAUUCCAGCUCCAAUAGCGUAUAUUAAAGUUGCUGCGGUUAAAAAGCUCGUAGUUGGACUUUCUAGAUCCAUUUCGUGGGUGGGUCGCUCGUUGUACUGGCGAUUCGCGCCAGUCACUGGUCGACGUCGUGCGGAGUGUCGUACUUCUACUAAGUUGGCUUUACGGCUUUCGAUAGGGGAGACUUCUCUCUCUCGGCAAACUUUCCAGCGGACGGCGUUUCUCGGUCUUCGGGUAUAGCUCGCCCGCGUUUGGUACAAUUAAAAUUUUGUCGGCUCGCUCGGAGUGCUCUUUACCGAGUGUUCCAGGGUGGCCGACACGUUCACUUUGAAAAAAUUAGAGUGCUUAAAGCGGGCUGUAAAAACGGCCGGAAUGUCUGUGCAUGGAAUGAAGUAACAGGACCUCGAUUCUGUUCUUUUUGUCGGUUUUAAUGAACCGAGGUAAUGAUUAAAAGGGACAGACGGUGGCAUUAGUAUUGCGACGCUAGAGGUGAAAUUCUUGGACCGUCGCAAGACUAACUACUGCGAAAGCAUUUGCCGAGAAUGUUUUCAUUAAUCAAGAACGAAAGUUAGAGGAUCGAAGGCGAUCAGAUACCGCCCUAGUUCUAACCCUAAACUAUGCUAACUAGCGAUCCGCCGAAGUCAUUCCCACGACUCGGCGGGAAGCCCCA
rnacentral:rRNA from 1 species